GAUGAACGCUAGCGGCAGGCUUAAUACAUGCAAGUUGAGGGGCAGCAUGAUAUACGCGAGUAUAUUGAUGGCGACCGGCGGACGGGUGAGUAAUAGGUAGGAGACCUACCUCAUACAGGGGGAUAGCAUAGAGAAAUCUGUGGUAAUACCCCAUGAGGUUAUAUGAAUAGAGGCAUAUAAUCAAAGCAUAAGCGAUUAUGCGGUAUGAGAGGGGCCUACUGACCAUUAGCUAGUUGGUGAGGUAAGGGCUCACCAAGGCGAAGAUGGUUAGGGGUUUUGAGAGAGAGACCCCCCACAUUGGAACUGAGAGACGGUCCAGACUCCUACGGGAGGCAGCAGUAGGGAAUAUUGGGCAAUGGGCGAAAGCCUGACCCAGCCAUGCCGCGUGAAGGAAGACGGCCUUAGGGUUGUAAACUUCUUUACUACGCGAAUAGAGGUUAGUACGAGAUACUAAUAGGAAGGUAGUGUAGUAAAAAGCACCGGCUAACUCCGUG
rnacentral:rRNA from 1 species